AAAAGGAAAAGGAAAAAAGAAAAAGAAAGGAAAAUAACCAAAGCCCUAGUUUUCCUGGAUCCUUCUCUAUAAGUUUGCGUGGAGCCGAAUCUCCACCUUCCACGCAAAUUCUCCAUCUCCCAAUCUUAAUCCUUUGCCGAUUGCGAAUACUAUUUCUCUCGCCAUCGUCGAUUUGGGUCAAUGCCAUCGUCGAUUUGGGUUUCUCAUGUUGUUGUCUUGAUUCGAUUGUUAGUUUCUCUCGUUACCGUCAGACAUACAAGCGCGUAUUAGAUCUGCGUUUCGAAUUUGAGAGUGACUCCUGGGAAGUUAGUGAGAAUUUGGUGUUGGAAUAAAGUGAUAAAAGACCAAGAUACUUUUUUAAGCCUCUGAGCUCUUGGAAUAAUGAUGGCCGUACCAGAAAGUGAAGAGGUUGGUUUUAAGCGCAUUGGGUUGUCAGCUACUGAUUAUGGUGCAAGUCUUCCUAUCAAGAAAAGGAGAUUUCCGGUUGUGCAGUCUCCCCCCUCUCCAUCUAAAGAUAUAUCUUCAUUUCAUCCAGAUGGAAAUUUAAUGAAGAUUGAACAGCCAUCUCCACCUAAAGAUGAGUUGUUUCAUAUCGAUGCAAAUUUAACGAGUGAAAGGCCGAGUCUAUCUGUGACAAUAGUUUCAAGUUCUAGUGCAGUCACAAGUUCUGGGUUGUCGAACAAGAACCAGGAUUGCAUUUCUAACGAAAAUAAAGGCGAAUCUGGAACUGAUUCAUGUUAUGCAGAUGUGGUCCAGAGUGAUUCUGGAAUGCCAGUAGUAAAGUUUCAGGAAUCUAGUUUGGGAGGGCAUGUUUCUUUGAAUGGUUAUGUUGAAUGUGAAGACAAGUCCUUGGUAACCGAAAAACACACUGUUCAUGCAUCACCAGAGAUCUGUGGGGGGCUGAAGUUAUCAUCAACUAGCCUCAACUCCGAUCCUCAUGCUGGUAACAAAGAGGAAGAAAUUGAUGUAAAAGUUGAAGGAGGAGCUGAAGUACCUGUAGGGUUGAAGGAAGAUGUGAAACCAAAAUUGGUUCCUGAAAAGAGUGAUAUGAAUUUCCUGAAGCAGAACACUAAGGAACAUGUGUUACUGGACUUGUCUUUAAACAAGCAGGAAAGUGGCACCCACUGUGUCAAAGGUAAUGCAGGGUCUGAUUAUGAUGGUUCUCUUUUGCAUUCAAACAGGGAAAAUUGGGAUCUAAAUACCUCAAUGGAUUCGUGGGAGAGUUGUACUAGUGAUGCACCUGUAGGGCAGAUAUCAUCCACUCAGACAAAUACGGCUGCUGAGACAAAUGUGUGCUCAUCUGAAAUGGUUGAAAGUGACAAUCCAUGUGUAAAGCAAACCUUUUUAGAUGGUGAACAUAAAGGAAACUCUAUUAAUGAAUGCGUACCAUCAAAUGAUCAUCUUCAUUUAAGUCUCAAUUUAUCUUAUCCAAAGCCUAUGCUUGAAGAAGAUCCUUAUCUUUCUGAAUAUGAAUCAGAUGGCAAUUGGGAUAUUGCUGAGUCUGUCGAUGAUGAUGAUAAUAAUAUAGAAGAAGAUUAUGAAGAUGGUGAGGUUCGGGAAACAAUGCCUGAAACUGAAGUAGAGGUCCAUAUGUGUGAGAAACGAGGAAUUGAGACUUUUGAUCAUGCUGAUUGUGAUGAUAAGAAGAUCAAUUCAGUUGGAUUGCCUAAUCGUGAGGGUUUCACUUUAGGCUCUCUAGAGCAGGAAACUGAACCAGAAAAUCUGAAUGUUAGAAGUGAAGACGAUGUUCAUACUACAACUAUAAGUAAAUCUUUUGAACAGGAAAAUGAAGGUCGUUGUGUGGAAGAAGUACAUGCCGUAGAUAAUACUAGUAUAGAGGAUGUAAACAGGCCUGUGAAGGCUGCAGGAAGAAACCAAUUGUCUCAAUAUGAUGAAAGGGAUAACUUUGAGGACCAGGACACUGCUGAUAAAGCCAUUGAUGGAAUUCAGGAAUUGAUUCCGGCAGUUUCUCAGGGUGAGGUGGAGAGUGCUAUAGCAGUAGAUAUAGUGCAGAAUAAGGAUUUAAUUUUGCCUAGUGUCAAGGAGUCUGUAAGUAGUGAUGAUGUGAAGGAUAUUUAUAGUGGCACUAAAAAUAGCCGGAUAAUUAAUCUUAAUCGAGGUUCUGCUGAUUCAACCCCUUGUAAGGAAAAAUCUGGUUUUGUCAGGUCAGUUUUAUCUCGUACUGAUAGAGAGUUUGUACCCAGCAUGGCACUUGAGGGAGCAAAUGUGCAACCUCAAGAAAGAGAUGACGCUUAUGGUGAUACUACCAAGAAAUUUUCAGUAGACAGAUCCCAGGAUCAAUCACAAUGGAAGAAUUUUAGUCAUAGAAGAGGGAGAAGUACUAAUAGGUUGGAUACCCGACCUGGGGAAUGGGAUUUUGGUCCCAACUUCUCUCCCGAAACAUACACCGACCAACAGAUUGAUUACCAUGUUCCUGGUCUUGAUCAAAACCGAUAUAAAAUUAUACCAGAUGGUCCAUUUGGUGGUGCUAACCAUCGUGGUAGGCAAUUGCCAGAUGAUGAGGGGCCUUAUUUUUUCCAUGGACCCUCAAGGAGGAAGUCACCUGGAAGAAGACAUGGGCCCGGUGUACAUGGUGGCAAAAUGGUUAACAGAAUUCCUAGAGAUUUUAGUCCAAAUAGAUGCAUGGAUGAGGGCGGUUCCUUUGAUCGACAACAUGGUGAAAAGUUCACUAGGAAUUUUGCUGAUGACACAGAGGAUCCAUUAUAUGCUCGACCUCAACUUCCAUAUGAGGUAGACAGACCUUUCUUUCGGGAAAGAAGGAACUUCUCAUUCCAAAGAAAAAGUUUUCCCAGAAUCGAUUCCAAAUCUCCAGUGAGAUCCCGAGCUCGUUCUCCUAACCAAUGGUUUUCUUCAAAAAGAUCUGAUAGGUUUUGUGGACGUUCCGACAUGAUACAUCGAAGACCUCCAAGUUAUAGGAUGGACAGGAUAAGAUCUCCUGAUCAGCCUCCUAUACGUGGGCGUAUGGCAGGCCGAAGACAAGGAUUCCGUUACCUUUCGCCAUCUGAUGACAUGAUGAGGGACGUGGGUCCUGCUCCUGAUCAUGGCCCCAUAAGGUCUCUUAUUCCUAAUAGGAAUCAGAAUGAAAGAUUACCACUUAGAAACAGAAGUUUUGAUGCUAUAGAUCCCAGAGGAAGGAUUGAGAGCGACGAACUUUUUGAUGGUCCUGUACGUUCGGGUCAAUUGAGUGGGUAUAAUGGUGGUGAACAUGAGGACGAUGAAAGAAGAUUUAAUGAGAGACAUGAACCUGUCCAUUCUUUUAAGCAUCCAUAUGAUGAUUCUGAUGGUGAGAGAUUUCGAAACAACGGUGAAGAUUGUUCUAGGCCUUUUAGAUUUUGUGCAGAGAAUGACUCAAGAAUUUCAUGGAAGAGAAGGUAGCUUUUUGGGAGAGAAUGAGUUGAGAACUUUUACCAGGCGAGUGGAGAUUGCUUUAGACUAGGCCAUUCUGUUAGUGUAACUUAGAUGGUUCAUAGAUGAUAUUUUAUGGUGCAAAGGGGGAAAAUUUUUAUGUUCUCUUUUGUUUUAUUUCAUAAUUGCAAUUGUAAAAAAUUCCAUUCUCCAUGCAGAAGAGUAUAUGCUUCUCAAGUGCUAUUGUGACUUCAAAGUGACUAAACAACUAUGCAAAAAUUGUUCUCUUAAUCGUUAAGAUCUUUCUUGUCCACUGCGAUGAUUACUUGCAUACAGUGCAUGCUUAUGCUCUUGAUAGGAAAUUUCAGCUCUUAGUAGGUAAAUUCAGUGGAGUUGUUCUCCCUCUCCAAUGCCAAUAUAAGGUGAAACUAAAUAGUUCGAAAUACCAUCAGUUUGCAAUACUUUCUUUUAGUACACGUGCCUUCACUGCUUUACUGUUGAAUUUUACAGUUCGUCUAGAGCAUGGAGAAUCACAAAAGGUAUGUCUACUAUAUUCUUGUCUAAAAGUUUUUAUUUGGUUGCAUAUGAUUUAUUGAUCUCAUGCAGAUUUAUUAGUAAAAAAAGGAGCUCUACUUUAGUUGCACUGUUUAAUUUAAUUUCUUUUUUCUUAUAGAUUCUAUUUUCAGAUGUUCUAAAUAGUGAUGAUGGCGCUUCAAAAGCGAUGGUACUGAGUGACGAUGACAAACAGCUCUUUGAGGGAACUUCUAUAAAGAUCUUUCCACUCAUUCAUCAUACUCAAAGUCGAAGUCACGGCCGACAUGGGAGGCUCGGAAAAAGAACGAGAAUCGGUGUCGUGGAAGGAAACAACCAAGAGGGGCAGAUUCCUCACCAAAAGAUGCUCCAAAGGUUAGUGAGGUCCAGAAGUGAGUAUCUAUCCCAAUGAAAUGGACACUCAAUUGGAACCAUUACUAUUUCAAAACCCUUCAAAUUCUUUUGUAAGGUUGUGCUUAUAACUUGAUUUGCUGUAAUGUUGGGUAAGUACAAUCGAUGCUCGAAAACCCGUCAAGAUGCUCGAAAACCCGUCAAACCGUUCAA